GGUAGGGUGGCCGAGAGUUAGGCGUUGGGUUGUAGCCCCACAAACAAAGGUUUAAAUCCUUUCCAUACCA
rnacentral:tRNA from 1 species